AGUAGGUUCAGUAGAUUCUCAGAAAACAAAUGAGACCCAGCAUUCAUGAUAUGCACGCUCUUAAGGCUGUGCAAUUGGGCAAUUAGUUGAAUUAGUUGAAAGGGGUGUGUUCAAAAAAAUAGCAGUGUGGCAUUCAAUCACUGAGGUCAUCAAUUUUGUGAAGAAACAGGUGUGAAUCAGGUGGCCCCUAUUUAAGGAUGAAGCCAACACUUGUUGAACAUGCAUUUGAAAGCUGAGGAAAAUGGGUCGUUCAAGACAUUGUUCAGAAGAACAGCGUACUUUGAUUAAAAAGUUGAUUAGAGAGGGGAAAACCUAUAAAGAGGUGCAAAAAAUGAUAGGCUGUUCAGCUAAAAUGAUCUCCAAUGCCUUAAAAUGGAGAGCAAAACCAGAGAGACGUGGAAGAAAACGGAAGACAACUACAAAAUGGAUAGAAGAAUAACCAGAAUGGCAAAGGCUCAGCCAAUGAUCACCUCCAGGAUGAUCAAAGACAGUCUGGAGUUACCUGUAAGUACUGUGACAGUUAGAAGACGUCUGUGUGAAGCUAAUCUAUUUUCAAGAAUCCCCCGCAAAGUCCCUCUGUUAAAAAAAAGGCAUGUGCAGAAGAGGUUACAAUUUGCCAAAGAACACAUCAACUGGCCUAAAGAGAAAUGGAGGAACAUUUUGUGGACUGAUGAGAGUAAAAUUGUUCAUUUUGGGUCCAAGGGCCACAGGCAGUUUGUGAGACGACCCCCAAACUCUGAAUUCAAGCCACAGUACACAGUGAAGACAGUGAAGCAUGGAGGUGCAAGCAUCAUGAUAUGGGCAUGUUUCUCCUACUAUGGUGUUGGGCCUAUUUAUCGCAUACCAGGGAUCAUGGAUCAGUUUGCAUAUGUUAAAAUACUUGAAGAGGUCAUGUUGCCCUAUGCUGAAGAGGACAUGCCCUUGAAAUGGUUGUUUCAACAAGACAAUGACCCAAAACACACUAGUAAACGGGCAAAGUCUUGGUUCCAAACCAACAAAAUUAAUGUUAUGGAGUGGCCAGCCCAAUCUCCAGACCUUAAUCCAAUUGAGAACUUGUGGGGUGAUAUCAAAAAUGCUGUUUCUGAAGCAAAACCAAGAAAUGUGAAUGAAUUGUGGAAUGUUGUUAAAGAAUCAUGGAGUGGAAUAACAGCUGAGAGGUGCCACAAGUUGGUUGACUCCAUGCCACACAGAUGUCAAGCAUUUUAAAAAACUGUGGUCAUACAACUAAAUAUUAGUUUAGUGAUUCACAGGAUUGCUAAAUCCCAAAAAAAAAAAAAUGUUUGUACAAAAUAGUUUUGAGUUUGUACAGUCAAAGGUA